UACGUAGGGUGCAAGCGUUGUCCGGAAUCAUUGGGCGUAAAGCGCGCGUAGGCGGCCCGAUAAGUCCGGUGUGAAAGUCAACGGCUCAACUGUUGAAAGCCGGCGGAUACUGUCGGGCUAGAGUACGGAAGAGGCAAGUGGAAUUCCUGGUGUAGCGGUGGAAUGCGCAGAUAUCAGGAGGAACACCUAUAGCGAAGGCAGCUUGCUGGGACGUUACUGACGCUAAGGCGCGAAAGCGUGGGGAGCGAACAGG
rnacentral:rRNA from 1 species